rnacentral:lncRNA from 1 species
ACAGAAUAAGAAUAUUAUAUCUGUUUUUCAUGUUUAAAAUUUUAAAACUGGAACCAGUUUAUGCUAUUUUAAUAUUGUGUUUGAGAAAAUUGAUCUUAAUUUAUGUUGUUCUUGUUGCCAAUCUCAGUCCCAUCUACAAUAUAAUUUUGGAGAUUCCUGUACGAGAAAGAGGUUUGCAUUCUGAAAAAGUUUUAUCAAUUCUGAAACUACAAAAUUCUGUUCCCAUCCAUUAAUGUUGAAUCAGCAACUCUAUUUUUUUACUGAUUUAUCAAUCAAAAAAAUUGUUCUUGUAAACUUGGAGUGUGC